UGUAGACUCUGCAGCUUAGGGCAGAGGUCAGAGCUAGAGAUCCAUGUCUGGAAGUUAUCGGUCUGCAAAUGCAUUUAGAGUCAUGGGAUUGGAUGACAUCACCAGAGAGCAGCGCAAGUGUUCCAGGGCCAGAUCUGGAGAGCUCCAUCACUUACAAGACCCCAUUGAUGGGAUUCUCGGGAUUAGUCUCCAUGCCGGAGAAUAGGACACUCGGGUUUUCAUGUGACAAUCUGACUGUCCUGGAAUGCAACAUGCAGACCAGGCUGACCUUGAACCCAUAGAGAGAGAUCUGCCUGCCUUUGGAAGUGCUGAGAUUAAAGGUCCCAGGAAUCCUACUCAAGUUUUCAAGCUUGGCAACAGUGCAGCUUUACCCUUGGCUCUCUCACUGGCCCCUGGGAUUCUGAAUACUGACAGACUCUAAAUUCAGGCUAUUCUCAAUUAUUUCUCAACUACAUCUUUUUGGAAUUUUAUGCCCAGGCAUUGUUCAAUUAUAGCAAGAAUGCUGCUAAGUCAGUUUGACCAGAAAUUCCCCUUACUCCAAAUAUUUCCUUAGGAGUUGAGCUGUAGUUCUCUUCCUUACCAUACAACCCCACUAUAUGACUCCACAGCUUCCUUGAAUAAGGCAUUACAGUUCUCCAAGCUAAGUGUCACCAGCACUUUUUAAAAUACUACCCAAGUUUGUUAUCAUCUCAUAUCCUCAGUUUCUUAUCUAAAAACUGAAAACCUCUGCCUAAAUUAUUUUACAGGGUUUUUGAAAAUAUCAGAUGAGAUCACUAAGAUAAGUGAAAAUAGGCUGUGUUCUGAUGGUGAAUGCCUGCACAUAGGAGGCAGAGAUAGCAGAACCACUGCAAGUUCCAGGCCAGCCUGGAUCAAAAGAUGCUGUCUCAAAAGAAAAAAAAAAGUGAAGGUAUUUAAAAAUAUGCAGCCUAUUGUGUAAAAGAUGAAAAUGUAAAGAAAACAUACGCACAGGUACUUUACAGGUUGCAAAUCUCGUGCUGGUGGUCAGAAGACCCGUAGGACUUGAGAGGGCAAUGAAUCAGAACAACAUUCGUGUUCAUUCCCCUGCGUCGGCAGGGGAAAGGCCUAUGCAAAUUAUCAGGAUGUGCUCAGUAGACUGUCAAUCUUAUCUGAGAUCAGGAAUAAAACAAUCAAACCAAAUGUUCCUAAGUGGAUGCCACAUAAAAUAUUAUAUGGCAUUUGCCAGAUCUUAAAAUGCUUAACAACUCUACUAUAUUUGUG
rnacentral:lncRNA from 1 species